UACGUAGGGCGCAAGCGUUGUCCGGAAUUAUUGGGCGUAAAGAGCUCGUAGGCGGCUUGUCACGUCGGGUGUGAAAGCCCCGGGGCUUAACCCCGGGUCUGCAUUCGAUACGGGCUAGCUAGAGUGUGGUAGGGGAGAUCGGAAUUCCUGGUGUAGCGGUGAAAUGCGCAGAUAUCAGGAGGAACACCGGUGGCGAAGGCGGAUCUCUGGGCCGUAACUGACGCUGAGGAGCGAAAGCAUGGGGAGCGAACAGG
rnacentral:rRNA from 1 species